rnacentral:rRNA from 1 species
AGUGAACGCUGGCGGUAGGCCUAGCACAUGCAAGUCGAACGGCAGCACAGUAAGAGCUUGCUCUUACGGGUGGCGAGUGGCGGACGGGUGAGGAAUACAUCGGAAUCUACUUUUUCGUGGGGGAUAACGUAGGGAAACUUACGCUAAUACCGCAUACGACCUACGGGUGAAAGCAGGGGAUCUUCGGACCUUGCGCGAUUGAAUGAGCCGAUGUCGGAUUAGCUAGUUGGCGGGGUAAAGGCCCACCAAGGCGACGAUCCGUAGCUGGUCUGAGAGGAUGAUCAGCCACACUGGAACUGAGACACGGUCCAGACUCCUACGGGAGGCAGCAGUGGGGAAUAUUGGCCAAUGGGCGCAAGCCUGAUCCAGCCAUACCGCGUGGGUGAAGAAGGCCUUCGGGUUGUAAAGCCCUUUUGUUGGGAAAGAAAAGCAGCAGGUUAAUACCCCGCUGUUCUGACGGUACCCAAAGAAUAAGCACCGGCUAACUUCGUG